rnacentral:rRNA from 1 species
AGAGUUUGAUCCUGGCUCAGGACGAACGCUGGCGGCGUGCUUAAUACAUGCAAGUCGAACGGAGCUUAGCAGGUAGUUUACUACUAGCGACAGCUUAGUGGCGGACGGGUGAGUAACGCGUGGGCAAUCUGCCCCUAAGUCCGGGAUAACAGAGCGAAAGUUCUGCUAAGACCGGAUACUCUUUACAAACCGCAUGGUUGGUAAAGGAAAGGAAACGCUUAGGGAUGAGCCCGCGUCCCAUUAGCUAGUUGGUGAGGUAAGGGCUCACCAAGGCAACGAUGGGUAGCCGGCCUGAGAGGGUGACCGGCCACACUGGGACCGAGACACGGCCCAGACUCCUACGGGAGGCAGCAGUAGGGAAUUUUCGGCAAUGGGCGCAAGCCUGACCGAGCAACGCCGCGUGAGGGAAGAAGGUCUUCGGAUCGUAAACCUUUGUCAUCGAGGACGAUAAUGACGGUACUCGAGGAGGAAGCCCCGGCUAACUACGUGCCAGCAGCCGCGGUAAU